GGCAGCAGCAGGACGCACCGCAGCUGUUUGGGUGUCUGUAGCAGUGUCCUGAGGGCAGCUCUGGGGAGUAACUUUCUAGCCUGGAUGUGAGCGGUUUGUUCUCCCCGCAGGAUCCAGGGGGAGCCACGGAGUAGCGGUUCCUUUCUGACCCUGCCCACCUGGUGUCGGAGCAGGAGGAAGCCAGUGUUUGCUUUCCAGCAAGGUCACGGGUCAUCUGACCAGAUGCGGCAGCUGCAAUGCAGGCAGGCAGGAGGGACCCUCGAGGAAAGUGAGCCCAGUUGGCGAGCCGGUGUUGGGCGCAGUGAGCGUCUCUGCGUGGUCAGCGGGACGUGAGCCGCAGAGCGGGCGGGAUCUGGCCAGGAGGCAGAGCCUCAGCCAGCCGGGAGCAGCCGCUGGCGGGCACCUCCUGCAUCCUGGCGCAGGACUCGGCUCCCUGGGAUUCUGGGCGCGGGCAGCUCUGCUCACCUCACCUGGCAGGCUCUGUCCAGGGAAUUGGACAGGAAUGAAUCUUGCAAGAAAUCUGACCUUCACAAGCUUCCAGAUUCUCAUGGGAGGAGGGCUGGGGAGAGGGAGCUGCACAUACUAAAACCCCUGGAGCAUCGAGAGAGGGUG
rnacentral:lncRNA from 1 species